AUGGAUUGCUUGCAAUCUGAUGACGAGUGGCGCACGGGUGCGUAACGCGUAUGCAACUUACCCUAAACUGGAGAAUAGCCUUUAGAAAUGAAGAAUAAUACUCCAUAGUAUUCCAAAGAGGCAUCUCUUUGGUCUUAAAGCUCCGGCGGUUUAGGAUAGGCAUGCGUUCUAUUAGUUAGUUGGUGAGGUAACGGCUCACCAAGACUACGAUAGAUAGGGGGCCUGAGAGGGUUGUCCCCCACACUGGUACUGAGACACGGACCAGACUCCUACGGGAGGCAGCAGUGAGGAAUAUUGCACAAUGGACGAAAGUCUGAUGCAGCCAUGCCGCGUGCAGGAUGAAUGCCCUACGGGUUGUAAACUGCUUUUAUACAGGAAGAAACCCCUCUACGUGUAGAGGGCUGACGGUACUGUAAGAAUAAGGACCGGCUAACUCCGUGCCAGCAGCCGCGGUAAUACGGAGGGUCCAAGCGUUAUCCGGAUUCAUUGGGUUUAAAGGGUCCGUAGGCGGGAAAAUAAGUCAGUGGUGAAAGCCUACAGCUUAACUGUAGAACUGCCAUUGAAACUGUUUUUCUUGAAUGUAGAUGAAGUGGGCGGAAUAUAUCAUGUAGCGGUGAAAUGCAUAGAUAUGAUAUAGAACACCGAUUGCGAAGGCAGCUCACUAAACUAUUAUUGACGCUGAGGGACGAAAGCGUGGGGAGCGAACAGGAUUAGAUACCCUGGUAGUCCACGCUGUAAACGAUGAUUACUCGGUGCUAGCGAUAUACUGUUAGUGCCUAAGCGAAAGCGAUAAGUAAUCCACCUGGGGAGUACGGUCGCAAGAUUGAAACUC
rnacentral:rRNA from 1 species